rnacentral:rRNA from 1 species
AGCAGCCGCGGUAAUUCCAGCUCCAAUAGCGUAUAUUAAAGUUGCUGCAGUUAAAAAGCUCGUAGUUGAAUUUCGGGACUGAUAUGUCGGUCGUGCCUCGGUACGUACUGGUAUUUUUGGUUUCUCCCUUCUGACGAACCUUGAUGUCAUUAAUUUGGUGUCUUGGGAAAUCAGGACUGUUACUUUGAAAAAAUUAGAGUGUUUAAAGCAGGCUCGCGCUUGAAUACAUUAGCAUGGAAUAAUGAAAUAGGACGUUUGAUUCUAUUUUGUUGGUUUCUAGGAUCGACGUAAUGAUUAAUAGGGAUAGUUGGGGGCAUUAGUAUUCAAUUGUCAGAGGUGAAAUUCUUGGAUUUAUUGAAGACUAACUACUGCGAAAGCAUUUGCCAAGGAUGUUUUCAUUAAUCAAGAACGAAAGUUAGGGGAUCGAAGACGAUCAGAUACCGUCGUAGUCUUAACCAUAAACUAUGCCGACUAGGGAUCGGAUGAUGUUAAUUUUUUAAUGACUCAUUCGGCGCCUUACG